UACGUAGGGUGCAAGCGUUGUCCGGAAUUAUUGGGCGUAAAGCGCGCGCAGGUGGUUUCUUAAGUCUGAUGUGAAAGCCCACGGCUCAACCGUGGAGGGUCAUUGGAAGCUGGGGAACUUGAGUGCAGGAGAGAAGAGUGGGAUUCCACGUGUAGCGGUGAAAUGCGUAGAGAUGUGGAGGAACACCAGUGGCGAAGGCGACUCUUUGGCCUGUAACUGACACUGAGGCGCGAAAGCGUGGGGAGCAAACAGG
rnacentral:rRNA from 1 species